rnacentral:misc_RNA from 1 species
UAGGGAGACCUAAUCCAUUUAGAAAUCGAAAACAAUGAAAAUUGUCAAUAGAAACUAAAUUGGUCUAACCUAGGUCGUUCGAGAUUGGUAGACAUCUUUCAAAGUAUUAUUCGGCUUCGUUCAAAACCAUAUAUAAUAAAUGGAAAAAGACAGCACCUAAUUGUCAAAGUUAGACUGCUGGAUGAAAUUCCAGCCAGAACCUUGAAAACUGCAUAAGAGAACGAGAAAAAGCAGGCAGACACAGACACUUAGAUGGAUGUGAAAGCAAAAGAAAUUGU